ensembl:lncRNA
AGAUUAGCCCUGAGCUAACUACUGCCAGUCCUCCUCUUUCUGCUGAGGAAGCCUGGCCCUGAGCUAAUAUCCGUGCCCGUCUCCCUCUACUUUAUAUGUGGGACGCCUACCACAGCAUAGCAUGCCAAGCGGUGCCAUGUCCGCACCCGGGAUCCGAACUGGCGAACCCCGGGCCGCUGAGAAGCGGACUGUGUGCACUUAACCACUUCGCUACUGGGCUGGCCCCUGUCCCUUCAUUUCUUUGCUCACGUUUUCUGUCAGUUGUCCUUAUUCACUUCCCUCCUGAUCCCUGCAUGCACAUUUUCUUUCUUCCUGCCUCAUCACUCUUUUUUUUUUUUUGCAUUCCCCUGCCCUGGAAGCCCACCCAUACCUUUUUUUUUGUCUUCUGAUAUUCAUCAAGAUGGGCAUUUAACAUGAUUUGGUGUGUGCCUUUUGAAAAUGGAGAGAACGGAGUGUCUGAUUCCAGUCACUAUUCCUCCAUUUUAUGCUUUCAGCACAGCUGAGGAUCCACACUCAUUGCUCCCUUCUGAGCCAAGAGGUUACCCAUUCUAACAGACAGGACUGUAAGUGCCUGCUCAAUUAUUGCCCCUUCUGAGGAACAUUAUAGCAGGUGAUUUCUCCGACAGCUGAUCAGACAAAGGAUUGGUCUGAAGGCAGCAUCCACAGCCACCUGCAACCUGAAAAGUUUCAGCUGCAGAGAGCUAAUGAUUCCAGGCUUCAGGUGAAAAGCACUGGCCUUCCUCAGGCGGAAGCAGGAACUAGUUCUCUGCGUGGGCUGGAGCACCCUUCAGCAAACCAGACCACUUAGGCAAGGUUUUGAAAAACCAUGAAGGAAAUCAUGAAGAAUGAUGUUGACUGGCCCAUCUUAAAUCGCUUGCCACCUGGACCAAUCACUAUGGCCCCCAGAGCAGAACCAUUUGAGAAGAGGCAGCUCCCUGGUGGAGCAUCCCAUGUGAGAGUGGGGAGAAGGACCACGCUCUACAGGAGGGAGGGUGCAGCGCUCAUCAGAAGCAAGGGAGGUGAACAACCCCUUGAGGAAUCAAUGUCUCCUUCAAAUGUUCCCCCUUUUUUACUGGCCAGCUCCAUCUCCUUCUCGGGUUGCACCUCAGGGGCCCUAGAAGCUUUCCCCAUUCGCAGCCCAAGCAUUCUGAGAGCUUGGGAGGGUUUGGUGAGUGAAGGUGAAAGAAAGGACAUAGGGAGGACGAGCAGAGCAAACUAUAUUUACUUCACUUACAUGCUUCAGGUCAGUCAUGUUUUGGGGAUCCUUCUCUGUGGUAUUGGUGUGUGCAAAACAGGAACAUCUGUCCUUUAACGUUGCUGCUCAAAAGGGAAUCAGUUUAUCAGGGGUGAAUUGUGUCUGUCUGGGAUGAUUUCUUAAAUCUCUUCCAGCCCAGUGAUUCUGGUAAUUGUCCUUGUUCCUGAUGUCCCAGCAAUUGUGACAUUCAAGCUCAGUUCUAAAUUAGUCUCCUCUCUUUCUUCUCUCCCCUUCUAGAGGAAUGAAGAGGAGAAGGGGGAGAGAAAUGAAGCUUCUGUGUGUUUUCUUCCAUCUGAACACUGCCAAUGUGUAUCUCCAUGUGAUUUUAUUGAAAUUUUGAGCUUCAUGAUCCUGCCACCAGUGAAACUUUGUUAGCCUUGCUUGCUGUCUGUGGGUGGACUAGGCUUGUAUAAUUAUAACAGAUUAAAAAAGGGAGUUCUGAAUUUCACUUGCCAAGGUUUUGUUUGAUAAAUUAAUACACAAAUAAGACAUUUUUUACAUUUUACUUCUACUAAUACCUAUAGCAAGAUGAUAUCAGUGAAUAUUUUAUAAAAUUUUAGAGUGUUAGAGCUAUGUGGAACUUCAGAAAUCCUCUGAAUCUACUUUAUUUUUUAAAGAUGAGAAAGAUGCUGAGGCUGGUGACACACAAGAGUUAGUUGAAGAAGUAGGCAUCUUAGCUCUCUCCAAGCCAGGGACUUUUCUAGUUUAUAUUGAUGCUUCUUACAUCUUAAAUCAAGUGGGUAAUUAGAAAACUUACGUUUCACUACUUUAUUUAGAUUAAUCAGAGUGGAGGAGUGUAGAUCAGUGGGUUCCAAACUUAUGGUAGUAAAUGUAGAAAUAGUGUUAACAGAAGAGUUAGCCCCAGGGUUUUCUCUCUUGAAAUUACUUGAUUCCAAACCCACUUUUAAGUCUCUUUCUCUCCUUUCCUCCCUCUCUCUUCUCUUGCUCCCACUCUUCCUGCAACGUAAGAUCCUUUUAGGUGGUCAGGACGCAUCUUGGUAUCUGGUUGCCUGGAAUUAAACAUAUUUCCCCAAGAAAUGCAUUUGUGUUUUCAAGAAGAAUAUUGUUUAAUUUAGAAAGAAUAAAUAAAUUCACAUAGCAAGAUUUGUCAAUAAUGGAUGAAAAUCACAGAAGCUUGACAUGGAAACUUCUCUCAUUAUUCAUUUCAAAGCUGUAAUGGAUUUUUAGAAGAACAGAGCAUUUUUGUAGAAAGUUUUAUAGAUUGUAAAGCGCUUUCAUAUACAUAAAAUCUUAUUUGAUUAGGGUUGCCAGAUUUGACAACAACAACAAAAAAGAACACCUACUUAGAUUUGAAUUCCAGAU